GGGUACCGUCAGGCCUAACGUGUAUUAUACGUUAGGAGGUUCUUCCCCUCUGACAGAGCUUUACGACCCAAGAGCCUUCAUCACUCACGCGGUAUUGCUGCGUCAGGCUUUCGCCCAUUGCGCAAAAUUCCCC
rnacentral:rRNA from 1 species